rnacentral:tmRNA from 1 species
GGGGGUGUAAUUGGUUUCGACAGUGUUUUAGAAAUAUGAAUAGCGAGUAGUGGAUUCUCGUUUGCCACUUAAAAAAACGGGAAAAUAAAUAUAAACGCAGAUCAAAGAGAAUUUGCUUUAGCUGCCUAGUGCGCUAACGUUUUAUAUAAAAUCCCCACAUUUUAUAUAAGGCGUCGACUUAGUGGGAAACAAACCUAUUUCUUGCCAUAGAAAUAGCGGGUAUUUUAAUGGCUACUAUUAUUUUUCGUUUGUUUGUUAAUGAAUUAUAGUAGGAAAUUUAAUAACAAACUACACUCGUAGAAGUUCAUGUGGAAAAGAUAUUGGACAGGAGUUCGACUCUCCUCACCUCCACCA